rnacentral:lncRNA from 1 species
ACAUUGUGUGGCAUCUUUUUGAGCUUCCUCGAUUGUCCAAGCUUCCAUAAUACCAUCCAGACUCCUCCAACGGUCAGCCUUCCAUAGUGUCCUCCAGAUUCCUCUAACAGAUGAACUCCUAUCGUGCCAUCUGGACUCCUCCAAUAAUGAGCUCCUCCAUUCAUCUACCGGGCUGCUCCAAAUGCUCUCUGAGCUUCACUUUCAGCCGAUUCUCUACAGUGAUCGAUUACUCUUCGAAUCUUUUUCAGACUUCUCCCAGCC